GUGCUCGCUUUGGCAGUACCUAUACUAAAAUUGGAAGGAUACAGAGAAGAUCAGUAUGUUCCCUGCACAAGAAUGGCAUGCAAAUUUGUGAAGCAUUCCAUAUUUUC
rnacentral:snRNA from 1 species